GGCUUAAAAUGACCAUCUGAUUGCAAAUCGGAUUGUGAGCUUGAAAAUAGUUCUUGAGUCU
rnacentral:tRNA from 1 species